AUUGAACGCUGGCGGCAGGCCUAACACAUGCAAGUCGAGCGGAGCGGCGGACGGGUGAGUAAUGCCUAGGACUCUGCCUGGUAGUGGGGGAUAACGUCCGGAAACGGGCGCUAAUACCGCAUACUAUCAGAUGAGCCUAUGACGGAUUAGCUAGUUGGUGGGGUAAAGGCCUACCAAGGCGACGAUCCGUAACUGGGCUGAGAGGAUGAUCAGGCACACGGGAAUUGAGAAACGGUCCAGAAUACUAGGGGAGGCAGCAGUGGGGAAUAUUGGAAAAUGGGCGAAAGCCGGAUCCAGCCAUGCCGCGGGUGUGAAGAAGGUCUUCGGAUUGUAAAGCACUUUAAGUUGGGAGGCGUUACCAACAGAAUAAGCACCGGCUAACUUCGUGCCAGCAGCCGCGGUAAUUC
rnacentral:rRNA from 1 species